rnacentral:rRNA from 1 species
UACGGAGGGCGCAAGCGUUGUUCGGAAUCACUGGGCGUAAAGCGCGAGUAGGCGGCUUGGUAAGUCGGGUGUGAAAUCCCGGGGCUCAACCCCGGAACUGCACUCGAAACUGCCUCGCUAGAGUCCCGGAGAGGGUGGUGGAAUUCCCGGUGUAGAGGUGAAAUUCGUAGAUAUCGGGAGGAACACCAGUGGCGAAGGCGGCCACCUGGACGGUGACUGACGCUGAGACGCGAAAGCGUGGGGAGCAAACAGG